rnacentral:piRNA from 1 species
AACCGUGCUGCAUUCAUAUCC